AAUUCCUAUUGAGAUCAUCACAUCAUUUAGGAGAAUGAAGAAACUCGUUCAAGACCUCUCAGUAAUUGAAGCUGCACUCAGGACAUCAUCAAAGCUGGUGGUAAGUUCAAAUGGGAAACGGGUUAGGAGGUUACAUCCAUUGCCACACAAAGAAUUGAAAGAUUCAAAGAAAAGCACUGUUUUGGUCGAAAAUCUACCUCCAGAUUUCUCCAUGGAGAGUAUUCAGGAAAAAAUCGCAACAGUGGGCAA